UACGUAGGGUGCAAGCGUUGUCCGGAAUUAUUGGGCGUAAAGAGCUCGUAGGCGGUCUGUCGCGUCGAAUGUGAAAACCCGGGGCUCAACCCCGGGCCUGCAUUCGAUACGGGCAGACUAGAGUUCGGUAGGGGAGUCUGGAAUUCCUGGUGUAGCGGUGAAAUGCGCAGAUAUCAGGAGGAACACCGGUGGCGAAGGCGGGACUCUGGGCCGAUACUGACGCUGAGGAACGAAAGCGUGGGGAGCGAACAGG
rnacentral:rRNA from 1 species